AGAGUUUGAUCAUGGCUCAGAUUGAACGCUGGCGGAAUGCUUUACACAUGCAAGUCGAGCGGCAGCGCGGGGCAACCUGGCGGCGAGCGGCGAACGGGUGAGUAAUGCAUCGGAACAUGUCCAAGUCGUGGGGGAUAGCCCGGCGAAAGCCGGAUUAAUACCGCAUGUGCCCUUCGGGGGAAAGCGGGGGACCGCAAGGCCUCGCGCGAUUGGGUUGGCCGAUGUCCGAUUAGCUAGUUGGUGAGGUAAAGGCUCACCAAGGCGAUGAUCGGUAGCUGGUCUGAGAGGAUGAUCAGCCACACUGGGACUGAGACACGGCCCAGACUCCUACGGGAGGCAGCAGUGGGGAAUUUUGGACAAUGGGGGAAACCCUGAUCCAGCCAUCCCGCGUGAGUGAAGAAGGCCUUCGGGUUGUAAAGCUCUUUUGUCCGGAACGAAACGGGUAGCGUGAAUAUCGCUGCCUACUGACGGUACCGGAAGAAUAAGCACCGGCUAACUACGUGCCAGCAGCCGCGGUAAUAC
rnacentral:rRNA from 1 species